UGUUAAAAAAAAUAAUUCAUUUAUAUUGUUAAAAAUUGGCGUGGUUGAUGGAAUAACUAGGAAGUGACAUGUGACAUGUCACGUGUACCUCAUGUUGACAUAUAUGCACCAGUUUUUAGCAAUAAAACUUGAUAAAUUUCUAAUA
rfam:Gossypium hirsutum cultivar TM-1 chromosome 23, whole genome shotgun sequence